AACGAACGCUGGCGGCAGGCUUAACACAUGCAAGUCGAACGCCCCGCAAGGGGAGUGGCAGACGGGUGAGUAACGCGUGGGAACAUACCCUUUCCUGCGGAAUAGCUCCGGGAAACUGGAAUUAAUACCGCAUACGCCCUACGGGGGAAAGAUUUAUCGGGGAAGGAUUGGCCCGCGUUGGAUUAGCUAGUUGGUGGGGUAAAGGCCUACCAAGGCGACGAUCCAUAGCUGGUCUGAGAGGAUGAUCAGCCACAUUGGGACUGAGACACGGCCCAAACUCCUACGGGAGGCAGCAGUGGGGAAUAUUGGACAAUGGGCGCAAGCCUGAUCCAGCAAUGCCGCGUGAGUGAUGAAGGCCUUAGGGUUGUAAAGCUCUUUCACCGAUGAAGAUAAUGACGGUAGUCGGAGAAGAAGCCCCGGCUAACUUCGUG
rnacentral:rRNA from 1 species